rnacentral:rRNA from 1 species
UACGGAGGAUCCAAGCGUUAUCCGGAAUCAUUGGGUUUAAAGGGUCCGUAGGCGGUUUUGUAAGUCAGUGGUGAAAGCCCAUCGCUCAACGGUGGAACGGCCAUUGAUACUGCAAGACUUGAAUUAUUAGGAAGUAACUAGAAUAUGUAGUGUAGCGGUGAAAUGCUUAGAUAUUACAUGGAAUACCAAUUGCGAAGGCAGGUUACUACUAGUGGAUUGACGCUGAUGGACGAAAGCGUGGGGAGCGAACAGG